GCGGAAACACUCCGUGAUUGGCUCGGAGGAACGCAGGGCGGGGGUGGCGUGCAGGGUUUGUCGGCACUGAGGGCAGAAGCGGUCGGGCCAGGCCAGGCUGGGACGCCGAGGCGCGGUGCCGCAACGAGGGCAGAAGCAGCUCCCCGCCGCUAGGACCCCUGUGGGGUUUGUUGCCGAGCGAAGGUGGCGCACCAGCUAAACCGAGGAAAGCUGCAGCUGGUGUGCUGCAGUCGCAGGUUUCCCAGGAGAAAGAGCAGCCCGACUGUCCAGAUAGGAGAAAAGCUCUUUCCAGAGAGAUGGAGAAGGAAUUAAUUAUACCUCUGCCUCAUCCUGUGAGACCAGAAGACAGUGAGUGACUAACUGUAAGCUGCGAUUCUCAGGAGUCGCAUGGCUAAGAGUCUCGGGUUCCUUCUCUGCCUGCCCCCCAGGGCCUUAGGCAUGGGAAAUCUUAGGCUUAAUGUUUUUCCCUAUGAAAUACUGUCGUCUUAAGGGGCAUAGCUGACUAACUGUUACGGUUCUGGUCGGAUUCAGGGUACUGAACUAUCACGGUCACGGAUUCACCUAAAUAAUGUAGCACACCCUCGCUCUAGUCGCAUUCAAUGAGAACUGUCAGGGCUAGGAACAGUGCACUGAACAGCAAUUUAUUACAGCAACAAGGACACAGGUUCUUUGGAUCGCCAGCGUUAAAUUCACUGUCUGCGAAAGCAAGCGAGCACGCAUGAAAUACACAGGUACUCGUCCUGGCUGUUAACGCAUUAAAAGGCACAAAGACUUUAGAGAUUUCUAAGUUUACAAGGAGAUACCUGGUACAACCAAGCAUUCAAAUAUUACCCCACGGCGUCCCAGUGCGGGGGGAAGAGAGGCUCAGCCCAUCGACUGAUCCCAGAAGUCAGAAAGGUGGGGCUUGAGUGACUCUCGUCAGGCAUACCUUGGUUAUGGUUGGUGAAAAGUUUUCUUGCUUUCAUUUAAAGGUACAGGGGUCUGAGAAAUUCAGAGCGCGUGAUCAGUGGGGGGCGGUCGCACCUUGGAGGCACGGAGCUUUUGGGAUGGAGGUGUGUUUUGGUAAUAUGAUGAUACUAGAAUGAGCAAAAGUUCCCUAGAGUACAGUGUUUUGUUAAAAAUAUGACAGGUUGUUGGCUCAGGGUAGGUAGCAAAUGUGCAGCUUAUCGGUCUCAGUGUGCACAAGGGCAUCGGGUCCCCAGCUGGUCGCAGAGCCUAGCCGUGGUGUUUCCACUCCCCUUUACGCUCCGUCCCGUUCCUUAGAGUCAGCACACUGACUAGUGCGAUAGCAUGUAAAGUUGGAGGCCUAGGGAACGCUGAGGUAGCGCAGCUGCCCUCCACCCUGAAAGCUUCUUCAAUGCUGUACACUUUCUUUAAAAGGUGAAUAUGUUUAAUUUGCCUAGUUACUUCAGGCAAUUGCUCCACAACAACCCAAAGCAGCGAUAGUGAGAAGCCCACUUCCAGCAUCCACUCCCUACGCAGGAACAGACAGACAGAUGGACGCCGCUCUUUGCCUUGCCCGCCAGGGGAAGGGGAGAACGACAGGGCAGGGAGCCCCACCGCAGCCCCCCUCCUGGGAGUCCUGCACAGCAGUUUAAUAAAGUUUGCUUUCUGGCCCGUGCCCCCUUUGGUGGUUGCUGCCCCGGGAAGUGGCUGUCGGCAUCUGUGUGUGGGUGCAGGUUCCGUAGCAGGGUGGGUGUAGAGGGGGCAGGGGCUGGGGGGGGGUGUGGCCCAGUAUCCGUCAGCUGCUGGAUGCUGACAACCCCUUGGAGUGUGGGGCCAGCCCUGCUGGGUGGGGGGGCAGCUGCCUAUUGUGGGACUGGGAGGGCAGCUUGGUGCUGUCUUUGCUCCCCGGGCCCUGGGGGACUGCUCUGUGUGGCGGGGGCUGCUUGCAGAAGCGCAAGUGGGGGGGGGGGGGGGGGGGGUGGUUCCCGGCAGGACUCCCAGGGCAGGGGAGGGUGUCGGGAAGGCCGCGUGCCACGGGAUUGGUGUCUGGGGCAGGGAAAGCCCAGGUGGGGAUGGCACGGGGUGGCAGGCACGGGUCCGCAGGUGCUGGGCUGCAGGUUGGGAAGCCUGGGGCUGGCUCCGUGGUGUCUGCAGUGUCAACCCGCCAGGAACACCAUUCCCACAGCAAGCUGGGAGUUGUGGUCAUUGGGCUCUGAGCUUCCCAUUGCCCACGUUGGGUUCAUUAUUAUUAUCUCCCUGCCUUUUUUAGCCUGAUAAAAAAUGUAGUGUUUCAGCUUGCCGCCAUUCAGCUUCCCAGCCGUGAGCAGCACAUUGCUCAAGGCAGAUACUUCCUCCCUGAGGCGGCGUGGGGUGCAAAUUCCUGCUGUUUUCGUUUGUGCUUUUUCUGGGAAAAUGGUCUGGGAAAUCGUCCCUGCUGACCUCGGGGCGCCCGCUGCCGGGGAAAAGGGGGUACUGCAGGCGGCGCGGGGCCGCGCAUGCGCGAUGGCGCCGCUGGGGGCCCUCUGUCGCCACCUGCCGGGGAAAAGUGAGUACUGCAGGCGGCGCUAGGCAGCGCAUGCGCGGUGGUGCCGCUGGGCGCCCUCUGCCGCCACCUGUCGGGGAAAAGCGGGUACUGCAGGCGGCGGGGCGCCGCGCAUACGCGUUUUUUUUCCUGCGAGUGAUGUUAUUACAUUGAUUUUGUUUUUGGGGUGUAAUCUGUUAUGCUGCUAGAUUUUUCUUCCUGUGUAGAAGAAAGGUUGAGCUAAUUCCAGUUAGCUUCAGUAACUUGCUUUCUCAUAUUGUCAUUUCAAUAUUCAAAGCUGAAGCAAAAGCAUUGGUAUUGUUGCUUCUAGAGAGACACUAGUUCUCCUGUCUGCACUCUGCAUGCUGUUCAGAUAAGCCAGAAAAAAAUAAAGGAAAAGAAAAACAGCUGCUGCUCCUCCCGCUCUCUUUCUACUUUCUUGUGCUUUGCCCCUCCCCUUUCCCAGGUGAUUAGGUUUGGGUUCCAGGCAGAGCUUAAUGGUAAUUGAGUCACAGGCAUCCCAUCAGAGAGCUCAUUCUGCCUGGGCUGCACUUUGGGGUAAGUGCUUUGGUUUUCCUUCAGUCAGUUGCACGGGUCUUUAGGUGGUUCAGAGUCUAUGGACUGAUGCGUUUCCAAGUAGAGAUCGGUACGUCCUUCUUUUUGAGGUAACAACUAGUAGGAUCUGUUAGAGGCAGUUCUGCGGAGAGCUGACAGAGGGCCCGAGACUGAUUAAAGAGGCAGGAUCCAUGAAGUAGUGGGGAAGGGAAGAAGGUAGGCACUCCGGGUUUAGGAAUUGAUCUGGUAACUCUGUGCAGAGACCAAGGUAAGAAAUAUUAAGUAUUGCCUUGGGGGUCGGGUGAGACGCCAUGUGAUGUGUGAUUGAGACAUACUUUUGUACGAAGCGAGUGUGGAGAGUCCUGAUCCGCGGUUCCGUAGCUCCGCGAGGGGUGUGGCCAGAGACAGCUGAAGUGUGAGACAAGAGAGAGAAAGGAAGAGUCUCGGGAAAUUUGGUGUAUGCUAGCCCUUGCACGGUAAAGUGCUUGGCAGUACACUCCCAUUUUCCAGAAUCGGAACGUUAGUGUGUGGUACCCUGCAGGAGGGAAAUUUCUGUAGCAGCACACUGACAAGGGCUAGGAAAAAUGGGAAAUAUGAGUUCCAGGGUACAGGGAGAUAUCCCUGGGGGAGUGCCUACCGACAGGUCUUCCUGAAGAAUGAUAAGAAAUUGGAAAAAUAAUAUCAAAAUCAGAGGAGGUGAUAAAAUAAAGGAGAAAAAAAAAAAAAGUUAAAUAUUGUGUAUCAGUCAGGACAAAAGAACCAAUUAAGGAAACAGCAGUAUUUUGGCCAAAAUACGGGUCUGA